rnacentral:rRNA from 1 species
UGGGGAAUUUUGGACAAUGGGGGCAACCCUGAUCCAGCCAUGCCGCGUGAGUGAAGAAGGCCUUCGGGUUGUAAAGCUCUUUCGGCGGGGACGAAACGGUCCGUGACAACACCACGGACUAAUGACAGUACUCGCAGAAGAAGCACCGGCUAACUACGUGCCAGCAGCCGCGGUAAUACGUAGGGUGCAGGCGUUAAUCGGAAUUACUGGGCGUAAAGCGUGCGCAGGCGGUUUGUUAAGACAGGUGUGAAAUCCCCGGGCUUAACCUGGGAAUUGCGCUUGUAACUGGCAGGCUAGAGUGUGUCAGAGGGGGGUAGAAUUCCACGUGUAGCAGUGAAAUGCGUAGAUAUGUGGAGGAAUACCGAUGGCGAAGGCAGCCCCCUGGGAUAACACUGACGCUCAUGCACGAAAGCGUGGGGAGCAAACAGGAUUAGAUACUCUUGUAGUCCCUGAGCGGGCUGGCAAGGCGCAU